UCUCUGGUGGUCCAGUGGUUGGGACUCUGUGCUUCCAAUGCAGAGGGCCUGGGUUUAAUCCUUGGUUGGGGAA
rnacentral:tRNA from 1 species